rnacentral:lncRNA from 1 species
AUCUCUGUACAGUAACAGACCUCCCUGGGCCAAAUAUUUCCUAGAAACCUUAACUUCUGAUAAUGCCUGAAAAAGAAAUGAGCUAUAUUCUACCCUUUAACCUUUGCCUGGUAUACACAGUCUAUAAAAAUCUGGCUAUCACGGUACAUAUCUUAUAAUCCUACUCUUCCUGGGUCAGUGAGCUCCAGGCUUAGUGAGAGACCCCACCUCAAAAAUCGGGUGGGGACUAAUAGAGGCAGAAGCCAGAUGUCAACCUCUGGCCUCCAUACAUGCACACACAAACAUAUUCAUAUGCAUAUACACAUGCCCACUUGGCAAUGCCCACAUACUGUUUAAACUUGAAGAGGGCCAGUAUGUACAAUGAUGUUGAACCUCCUUCAGCUGGCCACACUUGCUUUUUGCUUCACAUUGUUGAGUCAACCUGGCCUCUCCCUCUGAAGCUGAUUUCUCACGGCAUUCUAAAUCAUAGACAUUUUUUUCCUGGGGUGUUAAACAAUCAAGAAUGUGUAAGAAGAAGAAAAAAAAUGUACCCACUCAUGAAAUAAAGAUGCAGACACAUACCCUGGCAUCUCUGAGGACCAAGUGGUUUCUGUCAUGAGCACAGCGCUCUUCUGUUGGUAAUGGACUUUAACAGAGAAAUCCACUUGGAUUCGUUCUUCUUUUAAAAGAUGAUGAGAGAGGCCUGUUCCUCCUCAGGCCUGAAGAGACAGGAUAGGAAAGUCUAUGGCUUGGGCCCUUUCCUAAAACAAUCUACGCCUAGUGGCAAAGUGCUAGGGUUAAGUGGCCAGAUGUGAGAGCUGAGCAUUUAUGCUAUGCUAUUUGACUGAGCAAUGAUAUACUAAACACACAUGCAUGCAUGCAUGCACACACACACCAGCAUCCACAAUCAUAAUGAAUUUUCUCUCUGUCCUUAUUUUAUUGUCCACAUAUUUAACAAAAACAACAAAUUAAUUCCAAUGAGCAACCAUGGGGAAUUUAGGAAGGAUUGGGGAUUUCUUAAAAUUAUAAAAAUGUGUUGCCAUAAAUAUUUCAGGACUGUGAAAGAGCAGGGCCCGAGUUCAACAUAGCCUCUUCAUACAGGGGAGGGAGCCAUCGGCAAAGCUAGCCCCAGUAUUCAUCAUUGGUGGUGGUGUUAGAGGCCUUGAUAAAAGACGUUCUAACCUUCUGUAGGACCUUGACCACUCUGGGGUAUCUGUCCCAUCACUCCAUAUUAGGUAUUAAUUGUCAUCUGAGGGGGACAGAAUGUCGGGCGUCAGAGAACAGAUUCUGUAACGUGCCAUUGUAUCUCCUAAGUCCCAUGAUGGCAAGUGUCGCCUAAGUCUGGGGGAAGCACAUCCAAAUGUAUGUAUGUACACAUAUAUAAUUUAUUGGAUGGCCGGCUCAUCAACUAUAUUGGUUUUCAUAGCCCUGCUAUUGUCAGCGUAUUUCAGAUUGGAUUUGCUGCUGACACGAUUGAAUGAAAAAAAAAAUACUGACAUUUUUCAGUAUUGUACUUGACAUUUUUAGUAGUGUUAUUAGUCAUUUCAUUCCAUGCAGGAACACUGUCCGAAUGGGCUCAUCC